rnacentral:tRNA from 1 species
GGAGAGAUGCCAGAGUGGUUGAACGGGGCGGUCUCGAAAACCGUUGACUGUCACAGGUCCGGGGGUUCGAAUCCCUCUCUCUCCGCCA